GACUGGUCCAAGUGCAGCGGUGUUUACAACUAACUGAUUGCAUCCAGUUACAGAUUUCUUUGUUCCUUCUCCACUCCUACUGCUUCCCUUGACUAGCCUAAA
rnacentral:Y_RNA from 1 species